GAAAGGAGCUCGCCGGCGACGACGGACUUCUCGAUUCCGAGCACCGUUUCGCGAAAGGAAAACACCAGGAUGACGAACAGCUCACCGCGAACUUAUUGGAACCCUUUGCUUGACCCGGGAGGUGAUGAAAACGGCUCGCGGCGCGCGGCGGAGGACUUGGCUCUCGGCGAGAUGCGAAACCGCUCGGUUUUAGGUGGCUAAGGCUUGGCUUCGCGUUUUAGAUGUAAAAGGGGUUCGCUGCGGUGCUAGGGAGCUUUAUAGGGCGCCGAGGAAACGAUUUUGGGAAGAAAUCCCGACUUCCCGCGAUUCGGUUUGGCUUCCCGGUUGGUGUCUGCUCGGUGACGCUCGGGAAGAUGAACAGGACACUGCGCUGCGGGGCCAGGCUGCCAGUCACAGAAAGGAGGGGAUCAGCGUGCGGGCUUCCUGGGCCGCGCUGGGCCGAGGCGAGGGGGAAGGGGAUGCUCGGGCUGCGGCCUGGGAGGCUUCCUUUCUUUUUUUUUCCUAUUUCCAAUUUCUUUUCUGUUUUGUUUUAUUCUCUUUUUUUUCAAAGCCUUUUUCAAAAAGGAUUUUGAGGACAAUUAAAUAUAAACCAAAUACAAUCACCACAAAAUAAAAUAUGUCUCAGCAUGAAUGCACAAAAUCAUGUUACUAAGCUUAUGAUAAAUUUUAAAUUUCCACAAAAAAUGUUUAUUUGCUACAUUAAAUGCUCACUAAAAUUCUUAAAUAAUUCAAAUUAAAUCCUAUUAAUUGAAAUUCAAAUUUUGGGUGUUACAAAACUUAGCCUUGGUGGAUCAGAAGUUGCUACUAUGCUUCACAUUUCAAGAAUAACAAGUGUACAACAAUCAUAUUUCUCCUUGAGUGAAAAAUUAGUAAUGUUGAAAACUCACACAUAUUACCUUAGUCCUUAAUGGGCCAUAUGGCUUUUUUUUGUCUUGGGUGGUUGAGAGACAGAAUAACUUUGACUUGAGCACCAUUUUUCUCGUUUCGCACAAGAUAAUUUUACAAUUUAUGAUUGGUUAAUAGUAUAAAUUAUCGAUACCUUAUUACCAUCUAUUUAUUUGUUCUGGUUAUUUGUUCUUAUACUUCUUUUAUAUGACAGGGAUUUAUUCGGAUUGAAUAGUAUAGGAAAAUAAACAUAAGGUAAGAAAAUAUGAUGGAGAAAACAUCGUUCAAUUCAGAAACUUUAAAAACUUUGAUAUAUUGUAGUAAUAAAAAAAAUUUAAAAAAAAGUCAUGCAAACGUAAACUUUGGUAUCUCAUGGUAAAGGAAAACUGACUUUAGGCAUCGCAGCCUAAAAACACAAACCAUGCCUGCACACAUAAUAAGCAUCAUUUUGUUUCUUCUUGAGCACAUAUAUUUGUGUUCGCUUAUAUUGAUCUUGAAUUUAACAAGUUUUUGGGACAACAACCUUAUAUUUGAUUGGAAGACUUGACAACAAUUUACAUGAUAGUGCAAUUGAGCUUUUGUUUGCAAAUAAUUUAAUUAUAAUCUUUCUCUAUUAGGAAGUUUUUGGUGCAAACAAUAAUAUUUUGUGUUUAAUGGACUAGUUCCUAAUAUUUUGCUAUUAGGAACUCUCAAUAUCUCCUCCCUAUCUCCCUUUAC
rnacentral:lncRNA from 1 species